CGGCAUUCAAAAGUCACAUUAAUAAAGUUAUUUUAAGAUAACAAGUGCUAUCUUAAGAUAACUCUAUUAAUGUGAUUUCGGAAUGCGUGUAUAUUCACAUAAAUGUCUUGAUUGUAAGAUAACUCGAGUUAUUUUAAGAUAACAUAAAUGUGAUAAUUCUAUCUUUUCUAAUGCGCAUAUGUGUAAAUGAACGUUGCUUAGGGUGCGGAUACGUAAAGUAGCUCACAAAACAACAGCCUACAUGAAUUUCCGGCCGUAUUGACAUUUAUUUUGAUACGUCAUUUGUAUUGUCCUUGUGGUGUCGCGUAUGUGCUCUGCUGUAGAGUUCGCUCUGCGGUGGAGAACAAGAUGCAUUUUGUUAGUUUUGUGUUGUGAUGUAUUGUCCCGUGUUAAUUAUGUAAAGAGAAUAAUUGUAAUUUUGGUACUAUUUUUAGUUAAAUUUUCUGCACAUCUUGCACAUCUUUUUUCUGCGCAUUCAGUCUUCAACAUGUAAUGACAGAGUCGAACAUACAUUUUUGUAUUAAAUUUGCUGUUGAGUGAAAUUUUUCUUUCAUACAUCACAGGAGUUGUCCUGUAUCUCAGCAUCUGUUUUAGUUGUUUUCUCUCACAUGUAGUUGGCUUGGCUUACGCCACUAUAUAUCUAGUUAAAUCUUGGCAUUCAUUUUUUUGCUUUGCUAAAUUGUAUUUUUGGUAAUAUAGAACAGACAGCCAAUUACUGAUAUGAAAAAUCGUAAGAAUAAUAUUAAACGAAGAUCCAUACAAUGUAAAUUGGAGAAACUGAUUAGAUUACAACGAACGAGUGAAUGAUCAGUGAAAAACAAUCUAAGAAAUGUACGGAUGCUGAGUCGUUUACAACACAUGUAAAAAAGUGCGCCAAAUAUAACUUUUAAAAAAAUCUGCCGAAUUUAUGGAUACUGUGUCGUUGAUAGCAAGCACAAACUGUGUAUUUGCUUUCCCCUCUUGAAAAUUUUAGCGAAUGUGUGCAUGAGAGUUCUGUAACCAUGGAACCAAUAUACGUCUUAUGUGCCUUUAACAGAACACUGUGUGGUGAAAAUCAAUAUAAGAAUUGCGUCAAUGCUGUGGCGGUUUCACGCGCUGUUAGUAAAAGUAUGGAUGCUGUUUCUAACAAAACAUUAUAAUCAAUGCAAAAUGUUAUUUUUACAUUUGUUAAUGCUCGGGAACUGCAAUCUUUCUAAAAAGAGUAUGAAUGUCAUGUCAAGCAAAAAAGGUGUACUAAGCUAUGUUGUGGAAAUCAUUGCAGCAAAUAUAAGGUCGUGUUCCCAUAAGUUCUUAAAAAGAUGAUGGAUUUAGUGCAGCUCUGUCGGUAGAGCGUUUGAAUCAUCUCCUCUACUUGAGAUUAUAAGUUCAAUGUCCCCCCAUUGUCUAGUUAGUUUGUCAUUUCAUAAAGAUUUUUGUAGCAAUGGGAGCUAAACACUGGAAACCUGGUCCAUCCUGAAAUCCAUUGAGCACAGACCACAUUAAAUAUAAAUCACCAUCAGUGGUUUGAGGCAGAAUUGUAAGAGAAUUUACAUACUGGAUGGUUCUUUUGUUAUGAAAGUUUUUUUGCAGUAACUUUAAUGACUAAGGUGUCUUUUUAUGCCACUACCUGUACACAUGAUAGAGCUUAAAAGUACUGCCAAACUCUUUUUCCAUGUAUUG